UGGGGAAUAUUGGGGCAAUGGGGCGAAAGCCUGACCCAGCAACGCCGCGUGAAGGAAGAAGGUCUUCGGAUUGUAAACUUCUUUUAUCAGGGACGAAGGAAGUGACGGUACCUGAUGAAUAAGCCACGGCUAACUACGUGCCAGCAGCCGCGGUAAUACGUAGGUUGCAAGCGUUGUCCGGAUUUACUGGGUGUAAAGGGCGUGUAGGCGGAGAUGCAAGUUGGGAGUGAAAUCCCGGGGCUCAACCCCGGAACUGCUUUCAAAACUGUAUCCCUUGAGUAUCGGAGAGGCAAGCGGAAUUCCUAGUGUAGCGGUGAAAUGCGUAGAUAUUAGGAGGAACACCAGUGGCGAAGGCGGUCUACUGGACGAUAACUGGCGCUGAGGCGCGAAAGCGUGGGGAGCAAACAGGAUUAGAUACCCUGGUA
rnacentral:rRNA from 1 species